GAGAGACAACAUAACACUACAUAAAGAGAGACAACACUACAUAAAGAGAGACCUAAGACAACAGCAUGGCAGCAACACAUGACAACAUAGCAUGGUAGCAAUGCAUGACAAUGCAUGGCAGUAGCACAACAUGGUAGCAGCACAGAACAUUAUUGAGCAAAAUCAUACUACCCAAUCAUAGUUUCUAUUAGCUCUUAGGACAUAGUUUACAGGUUUGUAAAUUGAUUCAUAUUGUAAACUGAUUUAUAUUGAAGCUAUAUGUAUUCAAGCAUAAUUGUAUGUCUCGGAUCCCACUAUCCCUUCGACCCACACUCAUCAGUGAGAAUCAAGCCAAUCAAAUCAACUCCUAGAGUAGCCACCAGUAUCUACCUGCAGCCUUUACAACCACAGCCUGCGGCAGAGAGUGAGGUGGAGAUUCAGACUGCCUUACUGGGUUGGCUGCACACCCAGAGCCACGAACCACUAGCCUGUCUGAUGGGCCGCUCCAACACAAUCCUCCUACAGUACCUGCAAUUGAAGGGAAGGUGGAGUUUGCUCUGACUGUGUUGAAGUCAGAACCUGAGCCGGAGAGUGAAGAGCCUGAUCAGUUGUUUCUAUUAGCUCUUAGUGAUACAAACAUACAGGUGACUGACUGAUCGUGUAUGGAGGAAUCCUCACUAUUACUGAUAAGCAACUUGGCAGUACGCCCAGAAUGUUGCUAUGGGAACAACCAAGGUAUGUCAGUUUCAAGGUCUCAACUUGGAGAGAGAAGGCCUUGUGAGGUAUUGGUCAGUCACAUGUGCGAGCCACCGGUAAUGAUGAAUUAAUUAUGCUAAAUCAUGCAAAUAUAACUUCUCUGUAUAGCCGUAUAUAAGACAACUGCUGGGACUGCCCCAGCGGAGCUUCUGAUGUAACCUCUCCAGCUUGCUGAUAAUAAAGCUUGUGAUUCAUUUAAGUUUGA